CAAGUACUCCCUCCGUCCGGAAUUACUUGUCAUCAAAAUGGAUGUGUCUAGAACUAAAAUACAUAUAGAUACAUCCAUUUCAAUGACAAGUAUUUUUGGACGGAGGGAGUACAAG
rnacentral:pre_miRNA from 1 species